rnacentral:rRNA from 1 species
UACGAAGGGUGCAAGCGUUACUCGGAAUUACUGGGCGUAAAGCGUGCGUAGGUGGUUUGUUAAGUCUGAUGUGAAAGCCCUGGGCUCAACCUGGGAAUGGCAUUGGAUACUGGCAGGCUAGAGUGUGGCAGAGGGUAGUGGAAUUCCUGGUGUAGCAGUGAAAUGCGUAGAGAUCAGGAGGAACAUCCGUGGCGAAGGCAACUGCCUGGGCCAACACUGACACUGAGGCACGAAAGCGUGGGGAGCAAACAGGAUUAGAUACCCUGGUAGUCCACGCCCUAAACGAUGCGAACUGGAUGUUGGGUGCAAUUUGGCACGCAGUAUCGAAGCUAACGCGUUAAGUUCGCCGCCUGGGGAGUACGGUCGCAAGACUGAA